rnacentral:rRNA from 1 species
UGGGGGAUAUUGCACAAUGGGCGAAAGCCUGAUGCAGCGACGCCGCGUGGGGGAUGAAGGCCUUCGGGUUGUAAACUUCUUUUGCUCUGAACAAGGCGCACCAUGGGGUGUGUUGAGUGUAGGGGUUGAUUAGCGCCGGCUAACUACGUGCCAGCAGCCGCGGUAAUACGUAGGGCGCGAGCGUUGUCCGGAAUUAUUGGGCGUAAAGGGCUUGUAGGUGGCUGGUUGUGUCUGUCGUGAAAGCUCAUGGCUUAACUGUGGGUUUGCGGUGGGUACGGGCUGGCUUGAGUGCAGUAGGGGAGGCUGGAAUUCCUGGUGUAGCGGUGGAAUGCGCAGAUAUCAGGAGGAAUACCGGUGGCGAAGGCGGGUCUCUGGGCUGUUACUGACACUGAGGAGCGAAAGCAUGGGGAGCGAACAGG